UGACAAAGUUUAACGGCCGCGGUACCCUAACCGUGCGAAGGUAGCAUAAUCACUUGUUCUUUAAAUAGGGACUCGUAUCAACGGCAUCACGAGGGCUAUACUGUCUCCUUUCUCCAAUCAGUGAAACUGAUCUUCCCGUGAAGAAGCGGGAAUUAUUAUAUAAGACGAGAAGACCCCAUGGAGCUUUAAACUCAAUAUAUAUUUCUACGCACUUAUAUCACUAUUAGCCUAAGAAAACUAUGUAUUAGUUUUAGGUUGGGGGGACCGCGGAGAAAAAAUUAACCUCCACGACAAAUAGGCCAACGCCUUUAUCUAUGAACCACAAUUCUAAGAAUCAAUAAACUGAUGUUUAAUGAUCCAAUUUUUUGAUCAACGAACCAAGUUACCCUGGGGAUAACAGCGCAAUCUACUUCAAGAGCUCCUAUCGACAAGUGGGUUUACGACCUCGAUGUUGGAUCAGGGUAUCCUAGUGGUGCAGCCGCUACUAAAGGUUCGUUUGUUCAACGAUUAAAACCCUACGUGAUCUGAU
rnacentral:rRNA from 1 species